rnacentral:pre_miRNA from 1 species
UAAGCACCUUCGCUUGCAGAGAGAAAUCACAGUGUGGUCAAAAGCUUCAAAGUCUCUUUCCUCUGUGAUUCUCUGUGCUAGCGGAAGAGCUUG